rnacentral:rRNA from 1 species
AUUGAACGCUGGCGGCAGGCCUAACACAUGCAAGUCGAGCGGAUGAAGGGAGCUUGCUCCUGGAUUCAGCGGCGGACGGGUGAGUAAUGCCUAGGAAUCUGCCUGGUAGUGGGGGAUAACGUCCGGAAACGGGCGCUAAUACCGCAUACGUCCUGAGGGAGAAAGUGGGGGAUCUUCGGACCUCACGCUAUCAGAUGAGCCUAGGUCGGAUUAGCUAGUUGGUGGGGUAAAGGCCUACCAAGGCGACGAUCCGUAACUGGUCUGAGAGGAUGAUCAGUCACACUGGAACUGAGACACGGUCCAGACUCCUACGGGAGGCAGCAGUGGGGAAUAUUGCACAAAGGGCGAAAGCCUGAUCCAGCCAUGCCGCGUGUGUGAAGAAGGUCUUCGGAUUGUAAAGCACUUUUAGUUGGGAGGAAGGGCAGUAAGUUAAUACCUUGCUGUUUUGACGUUACCAACAGAAUAAGCACCGGCUAACUUCGUG